rnacentral:ncRNA from 2 species
UUGUGUUUUAGAGGUUGCGGUGCAUUAUGAGUAAGGUAAGGGAGAUUGAGGACAUCGUAGAGCUUGCCAGAAAGGAAUCACUGCCGAAGCAUAGAAAUCUGCCUCGAUUUCUAGAGCUGGGACUAUAUUGAAUAAAUAUAGGACUGUCACUGGUAAAGAACCCAUUUUACCAGUGAGGGGCUAUUUCACAC